AAAAUCGACGCGUUCGCGUACAUUAGUGUCACCAAUUACGCUUCUCAUAGGCAAAUUAUAAUUGGUCAAAUGAACGACCGUUGUCGCCAUUGUCAGGCAUUAAAAUUUAAAGGUGAAGAAGAUGGGAUGUGCUGUGCGUGUGGUAAACUGAAAUUGUCUGAAUUAAGCAGCCCACCACAACCAUUGAGCACAUUACUUAAUGGAUUCACACCUGAGUCCAAUCAUUUUUUGAACAAUAUACGAAAGUAUAAUUCGAGUUUUCAAAUGACAUCUUUUGGCGCCAAAAAUAUUAUAAGAGACAACUUCAUGGCCGUUCAAGAUUCAAGGUCAAAUAUACCAUCGAUCUGGCUCUUUGUUACCUUUCGACAACGCAGACCACCAAUUUUUCAAAUUAUAUUUGAUCGGGAACGCGGAAGACGAAACCGAUCGUCGGUGUGCCAUUAUCACCAACACGCGGAGACAAAUUAUUUUCGAUUUGCAAAAUAUGUUCCAUGAGCACAACGAAUUGGUUCAGGUUUUCAAAACAUCGCUUGAUCGAAUGCCAUCUGACGAUCAUAAAAUUGUUAUUCGAGCUGAUAAAACACCGGUUGGCGAACAUGCAAGGCGUUUCAAUGCACAAACAGUUGACGAAGUGGCAAUAGUCAUAGUUGGUGAGCAAUUUAAUAAUCGUGAUAUUGUGCUUCAUCGUAGAAAUGAACAACUUGAACGUGUAUCCGAGACUCAUCGCUAUUAUGAUGCACUACAAUAUCCCAUAUUUUUUUGGAGCGGACAAGAUGGCUAUAAUUUCCACAUUAAAAUGAUAAAUCCAGUAAACGGUCGAGAAGGAACAAAGAAAGUUAGUGCUAUGAGCUAUUACGCAUACAGGCUGCAGAUACGGCAAAAUCAAGACAGCCACAUAUUGAGGUGUAGAGCACUUUUCCACCAGUAUAUUGUUGACAUGUAUUCAAAAAUUGAAUCGGAACGGUUAAAUUUUCUUCGAUUAAACCAAGCCAAAUUACGUUCCGAAGAGUAUGUUCAUUUGCGUGAUGCCAUUAACAACGAUGGUAAUGCACAAAACGUUGGAACUAUGAUAAUAUUACCGUCAUCGUAUGUUGGAAGUCCACGUCAUAUGUUUGAGUACGCGCAAGAUGCGAUGUCAUAUGUUCGCCGUUAUGGUCGACCAGACCUCUUCAUCACCUUCACGUGUAAUCCGCAAUGGGAAGAAAUCUCGGAAUUAUUGUUUGUUGGCCAAACAUCGAAAGAUCGCCAUGAUAUUUUAGCACGUGUUUUUAGACAAAAAUUGAAAUCACUCAUGGAUUUAAUUGUCUGUUCAAUGUUGGAUGUAUUCGAUUGAAUGGCAUUUGGCUGAUUGAAAAAAUAAGGCCGAAUCAAAUUGACGAUGUGAUUUCGGCAGAAAUUCCAGAUCCGACAGUGGAUCCUGAAUUGUUUGAAGUGGUCACCAAAAAUAUGAUUCACGGAUCAUGUGGAGACGUUGACGGGCAACGAUGGAUAUCCCGAAUAUCGGCGUCGAUCAACUGAAGAUAAUGGCCAUUCGGUAACUUUGAGAGUUUAAAAUCAAGAUUUGGAGAUUGAUAAUCAUUGGGUUAUCUAUUAAAUCUAUUAAAUACAUUUGCAAAUACAUCAACAAGGGCAGUGAUAUGGCUGUUUUUGGAGCAGUUGCUAAUGUUACCGAUUAAAUCACUCAAUUUCAAAUGGGCAGAUACAUCAGUUCAAAUGAAGCAGUAUGGCGCAUAUUAUCAUUCCCGAUCCAUGAUAGGCAUCCAACUGUAGUUCAUUUAGCUGUUCAUCUUGAAAACGGUCAACGCGUUUUUUUCACACCCGGAAAUGCAAUGCGAAGAGAUGCGCAACCACCUUGAGCUAUUAAUUGAGCGGGUGCCAAAAGGACUACACUGGAAGACGUUCCUACUUUACCAAGAUGACAUUAUAGUGAGCUCGACUUGAAAGAGUUGUUGCGGCUUCUUAUUUCUAUUAAUAAAAUUUUGUUUUUGUCUUGGUGAAAAAACAUUUUCCAGCAGGAGUACGUCUGGUUGUAUGCCUUAUACUGCCAUCAUGAAAGUUGUUAUUUUUAAU